rnacentral:rRNA from 1 species
AGCAGCCGCGGUAAUUCCAGCUCCAAUAGCGUAUAUUAAAGUUGUUGCAGUUAAAAAGCUCGUAGUUGAAUUUCGGAAUCUGUCCGUUGGUCGGGCUUCAUUGUCCGUACUGAUGUGAUGGGUUCUUACCUUCUGAAUAACCAGCAUGUCAUUAAUUUGGUGCGUUGGGGAAGCAGGACUAUUACCUUGAAAAAAUUAGAGUGCUCAAAGCAGGCUAGUGCCUGAAUACAUUAGCAUGGAAUAAUAAAAUAGGACGGCAUGGUUCUAUUUUGUUGGUUUCUAGGAUCACCGUAAUGAUUAAUAGGGAUAGUUGGGGGCAUUAGUAUUCAGUUGUCAGAGGUGAAAUUCUUGGAUUUAUUGAAGACUAAACCUUCUGCGAAAGCAUUUGCCAAGGGUGUUUUCAUUAAUCAAGAACGAAAGUUAGGGGAUCGAAGACGAUCAGAUACCGUCGUAGCUUAAACCAUAAACUAUGCCGACUAGGGAUCGGACGAUGUUAAUUUUANAAUGACUCGUUC